UUUUUGUUCUCACACAUUUUCCCCUUUUCCUCUUUUUCUAGCAUUCCAAGUUGUAAAUGUGUUGCAUUUUAAUUAGAACACAAGGGUGGCGCUCUUGGGGCCCAACGUAUUUUCCUAUUUCUCUUGUCUCACUACGCCUUCCAA
ensembl:ncRNA F09F9.11 ncRNA